rnacentral:rRNA from 1 species
UUAAAGCUUCAAACUGGGAUUAGAUACCCCACUAUUCAUAAUUGUAAAUUAAUAGAUAUUUACCAGAGUACUAUGAAUACAAUAACUUUAAAACUCAAAGGGCUUGGCGGUGUUUUAGACCAAUUAGGGGAACCUGUCUCAUAAUCGACAAUCCACGUUAUACCUAACCUUUAUUUAGUAGUCAGUUUGUAUACCGUCGUCGUCAGGUAACUUUUAAAAAUUAAGAAGUUGGCAGAAAUAAUAUUGUUAGUUAAGACGUCAGAUCAAGGUGCAGCUUAUAAAAAGGAGAGGAUGGGUUACAAUUAUAGAAUUAUAAUUACGGAUAGCUAGAUGGAAAAAGCUUUGAAGGCGGACUUAAAAGUAAUAAUAUAAUAUAUAAAUGGUUUGAAUUAGGCUCUGAAACGUGCACACACCGCCCGUCACCCUCUGCAGUCAACAA